GACGAACGCUGGCGGCGUGCUUAACACAUGCAAGUGGAGCGACGAACCAGGGCUUGCCCUGGGGCAGAGCCGCGAACGGGUGAGUAACACGUGGGUAACGUGCCCCGAUGACUGGGACAACCCGGGGAAACCCGGGCUAAUACCGGAUACGCCCCCUCACGCGAGUGAGGUGUGCAAAGGAAGCUUCGGCCUCCGCAUCGGGAGCGGCCCGCGGCGCAUUAGCUUGUUGGUGGGGUAACGGCCUACCAAGGCAGCGAUGCGUAGCUGGUCUGAGAGGACGAUCAGCCACACUGGGACUGAGACACGGCCCAGACUCCUACGGGAGGCAGCAGUGGGGAAUCUUGCGCAAUGCGCGAAAGCGUGACGCAGCAACGCCGCGUGGGGAAGAA
rnacentral:rRNA from 1 species